GGAUUCCCCGGAAGCGCUGGCGCAUCGCGACGCCCCGAGUCGAGCUCGCUCACCGAUGGAAAUUCCGGCCGUCCAGCCGCACUACCACCCAGCAGUGUGCCAGGCAGGUGUCGUCAGCCUCGAAGUCCCUCACGUACUCGAACUUGCUUUUUGCCAUGGUCGCCCCCAAUCUCAGGUACCGUCUCAGAGUGAUGGAAAUGGUGGCCAAGGAAUCGUGAACCUUAACUUUACAGGCGCCCCACAUUCUACACGCGGAAAGGAAAGGGCCAGAUAGCCCCGCCCCGGAAGUGUUCUCUUCGCGGCUACUCUAGCCGUAGGGCAGUCAUAGUCUCUCUCGCCUCUCCCUGUAGUUCUUAACCUCCCAGGCAAAGAGGAUGGAGGUUUAGGUUCCUCCGUUAGCACCUUCCACGCUUGCUUCUUCCUCCUCCCGUCCUGCGGCAAAUCAGUCUCACGAGGUUUUUAAAAAUUAUUUUUUAUCUGCUGGUCUUGACUUACUGGCAAAAGCAAUCAGUGUCCCCGUUAGUGCCCAGAUCAAAAUCAUACCCCAACCUAAAAAAAAAAAAAAAAAAAAAAAUUCUUUUUCUGGUGUUUGAAGGUGUAGCUGUGAUGUUUCCCCUUUUCUUAGUGGCAUUUAUUAACUUGUAGAAAAUCUGGAAUACACCAAAACUAUAGUUAAGAAAAUUAACACUUUGUUUCUCCGUCUUUCCCAUCAAAGCAUUGUGGAUGGUUCCUUUCAGUCUUUUUUCUUUUUGUGUAUGUAGGUUUACACAGGGAAUGCACAAGAUU
rnacentral:lncRNA from 1 species